rnacentral:lncRNA from 1 species
GGAAAUUUUAGCACACCAAGAUAACUUGAGAGAUCUAGAUGUUAAAGUCCUUGAAGGCAGAAUUUACCCAAAAGUGUGAAGAUGGCAGAGCACCCAAGGAGCAUGGAAACUUUGAGCACUGACCUAGAGAGGAAAAACUUUAUCCCUGGUCAGCUUGAAGUAUUGCUCUGUAAACUGAUCCAUCCUGCUGAUUUUUCAAAGUCUGCAGAAGCCUGA